UACGUAGGGGCCUAGCGUUGUCCGGAAUUAUUGGGCGUAAAGAGCUCGUAGGCGGUUCGGCAAGUCGGAUGUGAAAUCUCCACGCUUAACGUGGAGGGGCCAUUCGAAACUGCUGUGACUCGAGUCCGGUAGGGGAGUGUGGAAUUCCCGGUGUAGCGGUGAAAUGCGUAGAGAUUAGGAAGAACACCAGUGGCGAAGGCGACUUACUGGACUGUAACUGACGCUGAGGCAUGAAAGCGUGGGGAGCAAACAGG
rnacentral:rRNA from 1 species